GACACGGCAAAAACUGCAGGAGACAAGUGUUCAUUCAUAAAUGAGAGCAUGCGUAGUAGUUUCAUAGAUACUAACAGGUCUAUUUAACAAAGAAGAUUGUGAAGCAAAACAAGAAUUGUAAAAUGGCAAGACAUUUCAAUUCCCACAUUCAAUUGACAACGACCGACCAAAUACCAUUGCAGUUUAGUGAUUUUAGGGGAAAAAAGAUUUAUUCUAGCCACAGAGAGAUAUUUGCUUGGAAGUUCCGACACGUUCGAUAAUCACCAAUUGACGGUUUCCCAACCUGAAGCAAGAAAGAGAAGUACGAUGAGUUUAAAUAAGAUGUUCACCAUUAUGAGUUUGAUAUCGGAUGAGAUAAAAUACACAGAAAUCCACAUCAUAAAACAAACAAAAAAUCCUGGCAACAAAAAAAUGACAUGCAUUGUAAUUUUCCUGCAUAAAUAAAAGAACUAUCUGAGCAUUCAAAUUGGGAAAACUACAAUGUUCUAAUAUCAAGAAAAAACUAAAAUGUUCUAACAAAAUUAAGUCCAUAGCGAAACACACAGGCAGUUACCCAUAGUUCUGUACUGAAGUAGGUAGUCUAAAAAUCUCAAGGCUAUUUCCUGUAACAUCAUCAAUUUCUGACUACAAGUGCAAAGCUGGAGAAGAAGAAAAUGAAAAUGAAGCAGAUCUGCUACUUCAUUUAUAAGUUUAAAUAGUAGCAUUGUACCAUUUGUAUUUUUUUAAUAGCCUUUAGACAUUGCCCAAAAUUGCAUAUUUGGUUAUUACUAUAUUUGGUACAAUCUAGAUGGCAGGAAAACAACUAUAAGACUACAGUACAUCCACAUUUUAGUUUCUAUUCAUGAACACAGGUGAAAUGCGUAACAAUAACAUAUGGUUUUCCUUCAACAGCUGAUCUAAGAGUAACUCCUUCAGCUGCAUACCACCAAUUCAUGUUUUGGGAUCCUUAUAGGAAAGAGCUGAUGGAGUGGGAGAUAUACUACACCAUUGAACAUACCAACAUAAUAUGUGCAAACUAAACAUAGAUGAUGUUUAUGAUACAACAAAUAAAAGACAUAGAUAAGCCCUUUGCAUGCUGGGUUGUGGUGAUAUAUUGCUGAAACCAGCAGUCAUAUAUUUAGAAAAUACACAACUUUAUGAAAGCAGAGAGAAACGACUGCAGAACUGAAACUCCUAAUGUAGAGAAGGAAACUACAAGAAACUACAAGCAAAUGCUAUAAUUAAAUUACCCUGUGAAACCCCAUUUUCCUGGCUUAGUUCCCUAGAUUUCAUUGUGACAAUUAAACUAUCAGCUUGACAUAAAAAGGACAUGCAUAUCAGCUAGCACAUAGAUAGAGAAUAUUAACAUUGAUUUCUACUGUUUGAUCCACACAAAUAGAAAAAGGGGCAUAUAAAUGUGUAAAACUACACAUUUCAAUGGAAAAGGAAACUUUCAAUAAAUACUACCUUCAAUUCUUAGUUCAAUUUGAUCUGCAUGCACAUGUUAGAAAGUUAAAACACAAACUCAAUUCAACUAAAUUGAAUCUUUGAAAACAAUGUCAAUAUUCCAAUAAUAGAAAUAGGGAACAUUAUAUGAACUUUGCAGCAGUUAUCACUACAUGAUAGUAGCACUGAGGCCCAUGAGCAUCAUACCUUCCAUCCUCUACCUUCAUGCUGAAAAAGCAGAUUUUUUGUCAGCUAUAAUUAGUAUGCAUUUACCAUAAAACGGAAUCAAGCUAUCUUCAGUUAAUUCAUAAUGUUCUCACCACUUAAGUAGUAGAAGUAUGACAGUAAGUACGAGAUACCAAGUGAGUCAAUGACAAUCUGUGCAUCCAAGAUGUCACCGGACAAGACAAGGAUCAUCAAGAGGUAUAUAAUCUCUCGGCAGUACAUGAUGGUGGCCUCUAGCAAUAGAUGGCCCACACCUAGAGAAGAAAAGUGGUUGGAAACGUUAAAAGUAAGGCCUCCAACUCUUACAAGAAAACAUUUCAGUUAAUCUUUUACCUUGGGAGGUACUCUACCUUUUGUAAGUGUUGUUGUUCUCAUUGUCUCAUGAGAGUUGACACUUGAGCAUUAACUUCCUAUGUUAAUUAUGAAACAACCAUGCUCAGAUAAGCGAGAAGAG
rnacentral:lncRNA from 1 species